UUAAGUAGACCGCCUGGGGAGUACGGCCGCAAGGUUAAAACUCAAAUGAAUUGACGGGGGCCCGCACAAGCGGUGGAGCAUGUGGUUUAAUUCGAUGCAACGCGAAGAACCUUACCUGGUCUUGACAUCCACAGAAGAAUCCAGAGAUGGAUUUGUGCCUUCGGGAACUGUGAGACAGGUGCUGCAUGGCUGUCGUCAGCUCGUGUUGUGAAAUGUUGGGUUAAGUCCCGCAACGAGCGCAACCCUUAUCCUUUGUUGCCAGCGGUCCGGCCGGGAACUCAAAGGAGACUGCCAGUGAUAAACUGGAGGAAGGUGGGGAUGACGUCAAGUCAUCAUGGCCCUUACGACCAGGGCUACACACGUGCUACAAUGGCGCAUACAAAGAGAAGCGACCUCGCGAGAGCAAGCGGACCUCAUAAAGUGCGUCGUAGUCCGGAUUGGAGUCUGCAACUCGACUCCAUGAAGUCGGAAUCGCUAGUAAUCGUGGAUCAGAAUGCCACGGUGAAUACGUUCCCGGGCCUUGUACACACCGCCCGUCACACCAUGGGAGUGGGUUGCAAAAGAAGUAGGUAGCUUAACCUUCGGGAGGGCGCUUACCACUUUGUGAUUCAUGACUGGGGUGAAGUCGUAACAAGGUAACCGUAGGGGAACCUGCGGUUGGAUCACCUCCUUA
rnacentral:rRNA from 1 species